CAGCCGCCACGGUAAUACGGAGGGGGCUAGCGUUGUUCGGAAUUACUGGGCGUAAAGCGCACGUAGGCGGCUUGGUAAGUUAGAGGUGAAAGCCUGGAGCUCAACUCCAGAAUUGCCUUUAAGACUGCCGAGCUAGCAGGUGAGAGAGGUAAGUGGAAUUCCGAGUGUAGAGGUGAAAUUCGUAGAUAUUCGGAAGAACACCAGUGGCGAAGGCGGCUUACUGGCUCAUACUGGACGCUGAGGUGCGAAAGCGUGGGGAGCAAACAGGAUUAGAUACCCCUGUAGUCCCUGUCUCUUAUAC
rnacentral:rRNA from 1 species